UCGGUAAACAUUCUGUUAAUAUCCUCCGAGUCAUCUCAGAAUCGACAACAAUUUAGUCUGUACAAAAUUUUCUUACUAUCGUAAAAAUGACAUGUUUCAAAAGCAUUAUAUAUUUUCCUCUUAAAAUUCGCAUUAUAGAUAAAGUAUUACUUGACAGUAUUAGCUAUACAUAGAUAUAUUCAGAAUAAAGUUAGAGUCCUUUUACGAAAUCCAAAGAUCUGGUUAUGAUUAUAAUAAGUUCUUCCAUCCAAACAUUUGACAUCGAGAAACACAGGAUGGAGCAUUUACCGCAGCACGAGAUGUGCAGAGAUAUAAGAAGAAUGAGUAUGAUAAGAAAUUGCUGGGGUACUCGUGGGAUGACGAAAGACGAAUGGGUUAUAUAUAAGAAGCAGAAUGUGCAAACUGACUAGCCGAUUCUACGUCGCAAAUUGAAGCCGUAAGAGAAGCAGAUGUUCUUGUUCGUAACAUCGUGCGUUGUCACCAACAACACAAACUAGAACAAACAGACUCACUUGUCUGGAAUGCCUCCCCAAAUUAACAAGUGCGGUGAUCAUAAUUUCAGAUUCAACAAAAUUGUGAGUUAUUACGAAGAUCAUUGUUUUUGAACUUCGAUGAUAUGUAUAUGCAGAAACAAAGCAUGAAAGUUCCGCUGUGUAAUCUACCUAAAGAUAUGUAUGAUGUAAAUAAAAAUUGUAGCAUGGAAUUACUGCUUAAAGAAAGCAGAAAAAACAUAAUUGGGGGAUUAAUGAUUACAUAGUACAUUCCAAUUUCACAUCGAAUCCUUUGACACUGUGUUAUGCGAUGCUACAUCUGAAGUUAAUGGACAUUACAAAGGAAAUCGAAGGCACUGUCAUAUAUAUUAACGAUAUAAGUUUGACGAAUAUGCAGAGUUUGUCAGCUUGAGAAAUUCCACUACAUGGACUAUUCCCAGCAACAAAAAUAACAAUUAUAAUAAUAGAAUCAAGAUUGAGGAGUGAUAUAGGAGACAUUGGAAAAUGGGACGUAUGUGGAGUGUGACGUAGCAUGAAAAAGGCGCUAUGUUCAAAUAUACGAUAUGUCCUAUGAAUCUUAUAUGCAAUAUAGCUCAUACGUUCCACCAAAUGUAAAUGUAGGAUUUAAUGCAAAACUUAUGACAGUGAAGAAGACGAGAGCUAUAAGAUUGUUACAGCGUCAGAAUGUUCCGUUGCUUCUUACGACUGCAUCAACGUGUAAAGCGCUGGACAGUAACAAAAGAACGAAUGAAGUGCUAGGCAAAUGCAUUUUAUUCAAUAUGUAUAAAUGAAGAUCUAUCAAACUUUGAAUAUCCUCGUUUUCUACAAAACGUAUUUCAUUCUUACAGACCAUGCAGAGAUCUUGAGAAUGAUAUAUUUUUUCCUAAUGCUUAUUUAAUUUUCUACGAUAAAUUAACAUUUUUAUAACAAAUUACUAGAGAAGUAAGGCUGAAAAUAUUUCAAGAACAAAAUUAACAAUUAUAAGCAUAGAAUCAGAAUUAAAAAUUGCUAAUGCGGAAUGUAGGAUAUAUAUGAUGUGUAUCCUGCCUCAAAUAAGGCGUUUUAUUCUCAAAUAUAUGAUACACUGAAAAAAAGGCGGUUAGAUCAAUAAAAUCGACAAUCACCGGCCAUCAAAAAAAUCUAUUCAAAAUACACAAAUCAAACAAAAUGCACUUUAAUGCAAAAAUAAGUUACAUUAAUAUUACUAUCAAUGCAGAUAUAAUAAUUUCAAGGCAACUAAUUGUUGUACAAACGCGUAUAUUGAAUACAUACGAUAUUUCUUUGACGGCUGACUGUCGAUUUUGUCGAUCCAACCGCUUUUUCUCUCAGUGUAUGUUGUACGAA